rnacentral:rRNA from 1 species
AUUGAACGCUGGCGGCAGGCCUAACACAUGCAAGUCGAACGAGUGGCGGACGGGUGAGUAAUGUCUGGGAAACUGCCUGAUGGAGGGGGAUAACUACUGGAAACGGUAGCUAAUACCGCAUACCAUCGGAUGUGCCCAGAUGGGAUUAGCUAGUAGGUGGGGUAAAGGCUCGCCUAGGCGACGAUACCUAGCUGGUCUGAGAGGAUGACCAGCCACACUGGAACUGUGACACGGGCCAGGUUCCUACGGGAGGCAGCAGUGGUGAAUAGUGCACAAUGUGCGCAAGCCUGAUGCAGCCAUGCCGCGUGUAUGAAGAAGGCCUUCGGUGUGUAAAGUACUUUCAGCGGAGAGGCGUACCCGCAGAAGAAGCACCGACUAACUCCGUGCCAGCAGCCGCGGUAAUAC